CUGGCGAGCCGGGGGCCGCAGCCGCCGAGGGAGGACGGAGCUUGGCGGGCCAUGGAGCGCAGGGCGAGGAGGCGCCGCCGCGACAGCCGCAGCCCCGAGCACUAGAGCCGGCCGCCACCGCCGGGUCCCGACCGAGCAGCCGCUCCCAGCCGCCUGCGCUUCCCCGCGCCGGGGCCGCCGCCGCCGCCGGGCGGGUCCCGAGCCCCCUUCCCCGCCCGCCGCCUCCCCUAUGCGGCGGGGCUGGAGGAGCCGGAGGCCUCGCUCGCCCGGGAGGCUGCAGCCGGGGGACGGCGUGUGAGGAGGGGCCGAGCCCUGCGCGCCCAGCGCCGACCUGGGGAUACACAGCUGCUUUGGGACACACCUCUAUUGGAUUUAAUACAUGCUCCACUAGCAACAGCUUUCAGCUAUGGAAUCGACGGUUGAUGAUGAGGCGAUGGCAGCAUAAAUGAAGAUCAAGUAAGGAAGGCAGAACGAUGCCCAAGGGUGGGUGUUCUAAAACACCACAGUCAGACGAUUUCUCUCUCAGCAACGACAUGGUGGAGAAACAAACGGGGAAAAAGGAUAAAGAUAAAGUUUCUCUAACCAAGACUCCAAAGUUGGACCGGAGUGAUGGUGGCAAAGAGGUGAAAGAGAGAGCUACGAAACGGAAGUUGCCUUUCACUGUUGGAACAAAUGGAGAUCAAAAAGACUCGGAUACAGAAAAGCAGGGUCCAGAACGGAAGAGGAUUAAAAAGGAGCCUGCCACUAGGAAGCCUGGCUUGCUGUUUGGAAUGGGGCUUUCAGGAAUCAGGGCUGGUUACCCACUCUCUGAGCGCCAGCAAGUCGCCCUUCUUAUGCAGAUGACAGCAGAAGAAUCUGCAAAUAGCCCAGUAGAUACAACACCAAAGCAUCCCUCUCAGUCUACAGUGUGUCAGAAGGGAACUCCUAACUCUGCCUCCAAAACCAAAGAUAAAGUAAAUAAGAGAAAUGAGCGUGGAGAGACUCGGCUGCAUAGAGCUGCCAUCCGAGGAGAUGCCCGGCGCAUCAAGGAACUCAUCAUUGAGGGCGCAGAUGUCAACGUUAAGGACUUUGCAGGCUGGACAGCAUUGCACGAGGCAUGUAACCGGGGUUACUAUGAUGUUGCAAAGCAGUUGCUUGCUGCCGGCGCGGAAGUCAACACAAAGGGGUUGGAUGACGACACCCCGCUGCAUGAUGCAGCUAAUAAUGGGCAUUUCAAGGUGGUAAAAUUGUUGUUACAUUACGGAGGGAACCCUCAUCAAAGCAACAGGAAGGGAGAGACGCCUUUAAAAGUCGCUAAUUCCCCCACCAUGGUGAAUCUACUCCUGGGAAAGACCACCUAUCCCUCUAGUGAAGAGAGCUCAACAGAGAGCUCAGAGGAGGAGGACGCCCCUUCAUUUGCACCUUCCAGCUCCGUUGAUGGCAAUAACACAGACUCUGAGUUUGAAAAAGGCUUGAAACAUAAGACAAAGAGUCAAGAGCCCCCCAAAACAACAAUCACACCGGUAAAGGAUGAAUAUGAAUUUGAUGAAGAUGAUGAGCAGGACAGAGUCCCGCCCGUCGAUGACAAGCAUUUGCUGAAAAAGGAUUACAGGAAAGAGACUAAAGCAAACAGUUUUAUUUCCAUACCCAAAAUGGAAGUAAAAACCUAUACUAAAAAUAACACAAUUACACCAAAGAAACCUGCCCAUCGCAUCCUGUCAGACACGUCAGAUGAAGAGGAUACCAGUGUAGCUGUGGGGACUGGCGAGAAGCUGAGACUAUCGACUCACUCGAUACUGCCCAGCAGCAAGACUCGAGAGCCCUCCAACACCAAGCAACAGAAGGAGAAGAAUAAAGUCAAAAAGAAGCGGAAAAAGGAGACAAAGAGCAAAGAGGUUCGGUUUGGCAAAAAAAAUGACAAAUUUUGUUCCUCUGAAUCAGAGAGUGAAAAUUUGGAGAGUGAGGAGGAUGAUAGAGACUCUGUGCAAAGCUCUAGCUGUGUAAAGGACUCUAGGCUAGUGCUAAAGGAAUCCUCCUUGUUCAACUCUCUGUCUGCCUCUUCCACCUCUUCUCAUGGGAGUUUAGCUUCACAGAAACAUAACCCUAAUCUUACAGACCAGCACUCCAAGCACUGGAGGACAGACAACUGGAAAACCAUAUCUUCUCCAGCAUGGUCAGAUGUCAGUUCCUUAUCGGACUCCACAAGGACGAGACUGACAAGUGAGUCAGACUAUACGUCUGAGGAUUCCAGUUUACAGUCGUUAAAGCCAGUGAGAAAGAAGCAGGAGCACAAAAAGAAAAAUAACUCUCACAAUACUGUCUCUGAGAAGAAGAAUUCAUUCCAUGCCAACGUGGACGGAGCAAUUCCAAAGCUGGAUAAGGAGGGAAAGGUUGUUAAAAAACAUAAAACAAAACAUAAACAUAAAAACAAAGAGAAGGGACAAUGCCCAGUCAGCCAAGACAUUAAAAUAAUCAAAACUUUUUCCUUUGAAUAUGAGGACUCUAAGCAAAAGCCUGACAAGGGUUUGAUAGAGACUGAAAGUCCAAGUGAAAAUAAAUUAAAAGUGUUAAAACAUGAGAGAGAACACUGUAAAAAGGAAGAAAAGCUACUGAAAAGUAAAUCAGAGGAGAAGGAAUGGUUGUUUAAAGAUGAGACUGGAAAAGCCUCCAAAGAGGAGAAAUCAUUAAAAAAAGUCAAAGAGGGGAAUAAAGACAUCAGCAAAUUUUUCAGAGAGGAGAAGUCAAGUAAAGAAAAACCCAUAAAGGAAAAGUCUCCCAAAGAGGAGAAACCUAGAAUACACAAGGAAGAGAGAAAGAAAAAAUCAAAGGAAAAGCAGUCAAAAUCUGAAAAGAAGAAUGAUCUGAAGGAGGAGAAAAUUACUAAACUGGAGAAAGACAAAACCUUCAAAGAAGAGAGAGAAAAAUGUAAAAAAGAAAAAGUUUACAAAGAAGAACCUGGAUUUGAUGAGUUUAGUAAUAAAAGCCAAUUGCUGGAAAGCGAGGACACAAAAUUCAGCCUUUCUGAUGAUCAGCAAGAGAGAUGGUUUUCUGAUUUGUCUUCUGAUUCAUCCUUUGAUUUCAAAGGUGAGGAUAGCUGGGAUUCUCCAGUAACAGACUUCAGGGAGAUUAAAAAUGACAGCAUGGCAAAACUAAUCCUAGAAACAGUGAAGGAAGAAAUUAAAGACAAGAAAAGGGAGAAUAAAACAAAGGAAAAGAAAGAAUACAAUGAAAAACGCAAUGAAAAGGAUACAUUCUUAAAAAAGAGAGAGAGAGAAAGUGUCGACAAAAACCCUGAGAAGAAAAAGGACCAAACUGAAAAGCAUAAAGUCACUCCUAGUUAUCUGCCUGAAAAGGACAAGAAAAGGAAAGAUUCUGCAGAAAGCGUUAAAGAGAGAAAGGAAAAAGAUCCAGGUGAAAUCAACAAAGAGAGAAAAGAUUCCUCUGAUAGCUGUAAAGACCGAAAGGACAUAAAAAUUAAACAAGAGGAGCCCUAUCGAGAUGAGUUUAAAGAAUAUGGUUGUGAAACAUUCUUCAAGGAGAAAUCUGACCCUGAAUUCAGUGGAAAAAAUGUGGAAAGCGGGGAAAGGCACCAUUCAGGGAAAGAUAAGGAGAAGAAAGAUGCUCCUGAUAAGGAAAAGAAAGAGAAACUGAAACCAGAAAAAUAUAAGGAGAAAUCCAAAGAAGCAGAUAAAGAGAAAAAUGAAAAAGUUGUUGCUGAGAAAAACCAGAAAGACAAAGAACUGGAUAAAAGUUUUAAAGAAAAAAAAGAUCCUAAGGAGAAAUACAAGGAUCUGCAUAACAAAGACAAAGAAAGGAAGACUUCUUUAGACUAUAUCAAAGAGAAAAAAGAGAAAAACUUCUCUGGAGAUAGAGAGGAUUUCUCUGAGAAAAGAGAUGAGAAAAAAGGAAAAGAGAAAAGCUGGUACAGCAUCGCAGAUAUCUUCACAGAUGAAAGCGAAGAUGAGAAGGAUGAUUACAGCUUAAGCGGAUUCAAAAUUGGUGAGGCCAUUGGGAGUGAAUUGCAUCGAAUGGACAGUCUACAAGAAAAAGAUGAUAGCAUGGCUGCUGAAAAGGAACUUUAUCUUGCUGACAAGCACAGAAAGUACUCUUCUGACAGGCAACAUUCAGGAGAGAAACAGAAAGAUAAAGAGAAGAAAAAGGAUAAAGGAUUAGCAGAAGGUGGGAAGGAGAAAAAAGAGAAGAGUUUCUUUGAAAAACACAAAGAGAAGAAGGAUAAAGAUUCUGUCGAGAAGUAUAAAGACAGGAAAGACAGAACCUCAGUAGACUCCACCCAAGAAAAGAAAAACAAGCAAAAGCUCCCUGAAAAGGCUGAAAAGAAGCAUGCUGCUGAGGAGAAGGUAAAAAACAAGCAUAAGGAAAAGAUGGAUAAAGAACAUUCCAAAGAAAAGAAGUCUUCAAAAGGAGGAGAGACCGAGAAGAGCCUGUUGGAAAAAUUGGAGGAGGAGGCCCUCAAUGAAUAUAGAGAUGACUCCAAUGAUAAAAUAAGUGAGAUUUCUUCUGAUAGCUUCACAGACAGAGGACAAGAUCCAGGACUAACCAACCUCUUUGAGUCUUCUAACCUUUCUCUUAUGGAUGCCUCUGAGGAAAAGUAUAAAGAUUCUCUUCCUUUGCCCUGCUUGCAAGACAAACUCAAGGAGAAGGAGAGGCACAGGCAUUCCUCAUCUUCAUCAAAGAAAAGUCACGAGAAAGAGAAAGCAAAGAAGGAAAAAACAGAGAAAAAAGAGAAAAUGGAUGACUUUAAAGACUCCAGCAACAGAAAAGAUUCCAGUCAAUAUGAAAAAGAAUUGUCUGUGGAUGGGGAGACUUUUGGCAUUUCCUACAGCAUGAAAGCAGAGGUUGAGGAAGAACUGGACAAAAACAUUGACUAUUUGUUUUCUGAAAAGAAAGAUAAAAAUGAUCCUGAGAGAGAGCUCUCAAAGAAGGCAGAAAAGGAAAAGACUUAUGUUUCCAGUACCAUCAGCACAGUCAAAGAGAAGAAGAAGAGAGAAAAACACAAGGAAAAAUGGAAGGAUGAAAAGGAAAAGCAUAGAGACAAACAUACAGAUGGAUUCUUUAAACAUCACAAAGAUGAGACAAAAUCUGUGGUUAAAGACAAGGAUAGCCCUCAAGUUAUCACAUUCAAAGAUAAGUCAAAGGAGGAGAACCUAAAAUUUAGUGAAACCAAACUGAAGGAGAAACUCAAGGAAAACCAAGAGAAAGACAAAACAGAGUCUCUAAAGAUCAGUAAUGGAAAUGAUAAAAUAACAUUGUCCAAAGAUGGUAGCAAGAAAGAUAACAGGCCUAGAGAGAAGCUUCUGGGUGAUGGUGAUCUAAUGAUGACCAGCUUCGAGAGGAUGCUGAGCCAAAAAGACCUGGAAAUUGAGGAGCGCCACAAAAGACACAAAGAGAGAAUGAAGCAAAUGGAGAAGAUGAGGCACAGAUCUGGAGAUCCCAAAUUAAAAGAUAAAAUUAAAACCUCUGAAGAGAUGCGUAAGAGGAGUCUGGAUUUGACCACAAAGAAACCACUAGCACUAGAUACUCAGCUAAAGGACAAAAAGCUCAAAGAACUCGGUCCACUGACUCCUAUAUUGUCACCAGAUAAUAAGCCACAGCUUGCUGUGGGGACAGAUUCAAAAGACUGGAUAACUGGCCCUCAGCUGAAAGAAAUUUUACCUGCUUCUCCCAGGCCAGAUCAGAACAGGCCGACAGGUGUUCCAGCUCCAGCUUCCGUAGUUUCUUGUCCAAGCUAUGAAGAAGUGAUGCAGACACCAAGAACUCCUUCGUGCAGCAAUGAAGAUUACACAGAUUUGAUGUUUGAUUGUGCUGACUCUCAGCACUCUCUGCCCAUAUCCACAAUGUCCAUGAAUGCAUGUUCUCCAUCCUUUUUUGACAGAUAUGCAAAUGCUUCAAGUGGACUUCCCGACAAUCCAAGUCAGACUCCAACAAGGACGAUACCCUCCACAAACCUUUAUCGUUCAAUCUCUGUUGAUAUAAGAAGGGUCCCUGAAGAUGAGUUCAGUGCUGGAGACAAGUUUUUCAGGCAGCAAAGUGUCCCGGCAACAUCAAAUUAUGAUUCUCCAGUGCAGCAUUUGAUGGAGGAAAAAGUCCCUCUUCCUUCUGUUCCUGCAGAAAAGUUUCAGUGUAUGUCUCCAGGGUAUUAUUCACCUGACUAUGGAAUUCCAUCACCUAAAGUAGAAACUUUGCAUUGUGCACCUGUUGGCAAUGUUGUCCAAUCACCUGAAAGCAUCUUUUCUGGUUUACAAGCAAAAUCCUCCCCCUCGCAUAGAGAUGAGCUGCUUGCACCUUCUGUAGAAAGUGCUCUUCCCCCUGAUCUUGGCAUGCCUUUGGAUACCACAGAAGAGCAGCAAGCUACUGCUUCUAUUUUGCCUCCAGAGUCUACCUUUUUACCACCUAUUGAAGAAAACCAUUUUAGUUCAGGUAUUUCAGAGCAGAACAAUAUGGACUGGGAUAAUCCUCCUUCCAGAAACCCUGACCCUCCCAUCCCUCCUAGUUUAAUUGGUAAUCCAUCUGAUCACCCUGUCAGCUGGUCAGUGGGAUCAGAACUUCUAAUGAAAUCUCCCCAGAGGUUCCCUGAAUCCCCUAAGCCAUUCUGUUCACUGGACCCAAUACAUCCUGCACCCGUGCCCUUUAUUUCUACAGAUUCUCCAUACCCAGUUUCUCCUAUUUCCUAUCCAUUGUCAGUAUCUGAACCGGGGCUUGAUGAAGUAAAGGAAGAUGCUGAAGAAGCAGUUCCAGGAGAAAUGGCAACUGCAGAAGAGCAAGCUCCUUACAUGUCCCCUACUAGAUUAGACACUUUCUUCAAUAACUGCAAGCCUCUUCCAGAAGAAACACCCGAGAUGCCUUUAGACCCCCCUUGCGUUCCAACAGAAACUCCGGCAGAGGCUGUUAACACUCUGGAAAACAGUUAUUUGGAAAACAGUAGUGUUGCACCUGUAAACCCAGAAGAGCCAGUAACGUGGCCUGAUCCAUUCACAAACUCAGAGGAUGACUUAGACCUUGGUCCCUUCUCGUUGCCGGAAUUGCCGCUCCAAGCUAAAGAUGUUCCAGAUGCUGAAAUGACUGAAGUGGCACCGAUAGAAGAAAGCCCAGUAGCUGCCCCAGAAGUCAUAAAUGCUGGGGUCAUAAACGUGAGUGUGUCUGUCACAGCUUCCAGUGAGCAGGAGGAGCUACCCCUUAAUCAGCCAAGUAACUUACGACCUGUGGGACCAGAGCCACAGCUGGAGGAACAAAAGCCGGAAGUGAUUGCACCAGAAGCUACCUCGGAAGCAUUGAAUGUACCAGAAGAGAAAAGAUUAGAAGAGUCCGAGGCACAGAGUUUUCAACAGACUGCGUCAACAGAGCUUGCUCUGCCAGAGAAACAAGAGGCAGAAACAAACCAUGAAGAAUUGCCCUCGUCAAACUGUGCAGUGGAGAGUGGAUCUCAAAGCAGCUUGGCACAAGCGAACGCUGCUGAGAUUGGGGUCGCGCAAGACAGUGCUGCAGUACGAAGUGGGAGCCAAGUCUCUUCCAUCCAGACAGAGACACCCCAAGGGACUACUCCAGUAGAAACCAUAGAGCCAGUACAAAAACCAGUAGCAGAAGUUUCCAAACCACCCAAAAUAGAAGAGAUCCCGCAACGAAUUACCAGGAACAGGGCUCAAAUGCUGGCCAAUCAAAAUAAACAGAACACUGCACCUUCUGAGAAAGAGUUUCCUCCAGUUUCUGCACCUUCCACGCGUGCUAAAGGGCGAGUGACGGAGGAAGACGAUGCUCAAGCCCAACAUCCACGUAAACGCAGGUUCCAGCGUUCCAGCCAGCAGCUACAGCAGCAGAUUAACACGUCCACCCAGCAGACAAGAGAGAUGAUACAGCAAACACUGGCAGCGAUUGUAGAUGCCAUAAAACUGGACGACAUUGAGCCCUAUCACAGUGACAGAUCAAACCCAUACUUUGAGUAUCUUCAGAUCAGGAAAAAGAUUGAAGAGAAGCGGAAAAUCCUCUGCUACAUCACUCCCCAAGCUCCCCAGUGUUAUGCCGAAUAUGUCACCUACACAGGGUCCUACCUGCUGGAUGGCAAGCCGCUAAGCAAGCUUCACAUUCCAGUGAUUGCACCCCCUCCAUCGCUCGCGGAGCCCCUGAAGGAACUCUUCAAGCAGCAGGAAGCAGUGAGGGGGAAGCUGCGACUCCAGCACAGCAUAGAGCGGGAGAAGCUGAUUGUUUCAUGCGAACAGGAGAUCUUAAGAGUUCACUGUCGGGCAGCGAGAACCAUUGCUAACCAGGCAGUGCCCUUCAGUGCAUGCACCAUGCUGCUGGACUCCGAGGUCUAUAACAUGCCUCUAGAAAAUCAGGGAGAUGAAAACAAAUCAGUCAGAGAUCGUUUCAAUGCUCGCCAGUUUAUUUCCUGGUUACAAGAUGUGGAUGACAAAUAUGAUCGAAUGAAGACGUGCCUGCUAAUGCGACAGCAGCAUGAAGCCGCUGCCUUGAAUGCGGUGCAGCGAAUGGAGUGGCAGCUGAAGGUUCAGGAGCUGGAUCCAGCUGGUCAUAAAUCCCUCUGCGUGAACGAGGUUCCCUCGUUCUACGUGCCGAUGGUAGAUGUCAACGAUGACUUUGUGCUCUUGCCGGCAUGACAAUACAAAACCAGGAGACAUUCUCCCUGAAAACUGGCAAGGGCGGGAGCCCUCCGAGGACAGAUGCUCGAGCUCACAUUCAUCCUUACCACUUGCUGAUGAGUCCCUGGUCAGAGGAGGAGGAAGCAUCUAUCGGCAGAAAACAAAACAGUAAGAAAAAUAAUUGCACUUUCUUCACGACGUCUCCCUCACUUCUGGACUGAUCAGAGCUACGCCAGGCAGCGGGAGUGGGGGAACGCAUCUCCUGUCAAACCGGUUGCUGCAGCAGAGGGCAGCCAGCCUGUACACAGCAGUGAGCGUCUGAACGGACAAGGGGGAGAGAGACUGACGGAGGCAGGGAGGAGAAAAGGUUCAAGAACACGUGUGUUGCAGAAGCUGCUGAGCAGGGCCAGCAACCAUGCAGUUCAUGUACUUGUGAACAUGGCGAUUUCAAGCUCUUUGUUUUCCAUUUGUCCGCAGAUCUCCUCUUGGAGAAGCUGCAGAGGAGACGGUGGGUUUUUUAUAGUUCUCGUUCCAUCCUGGUUACGUCACAAAUUAAAAGCAAAACUAAAAGGAAGCAUCCAGCUUUCCCAGCUGCGGUUCCGGAGGUGCAAACAGCUGCGGCUCCCGACCCCGGACGCCUUCUGAGUCGUCAUAAAGUAGCUGCUCGUCACCACGUUUGGAUGAGUGAGGAGGCAGUUGGCACGUUAUGCGCACGUGACUAGUACGCUGCUGUUAUGGAGUGACCUGAUUACUUGAGCUGGGAACCACACAGCCUUGCAGCCUGCCGGAUCACCGCUUUCCUCCAGGCUGCUUCAGAAAAGCCAGUUGAAGCACAUUCCUGUAAGGUGAUUUUCCCCACUAACUUAUUGAAUUAGUACCCUUGGCCUGUCACAGUAACUAGUUUCUUUUAACUACAUUGUGUUAGUGACUUAAGAAAUAAAAUCCCUAGCUCCCUUCCUAAGGCUGUACGGUGAAACGGACAGGCUGUCCCUGGCCGUGUACAGCACCGGUGCUCAGCUCCAUCUCACCAUGCUGCUGUGGUGUGUCCACGGGAGUUUUCUCUAUGCCUGUGCUGUGCACAAACCUGUCUGGGGGUAUUCCCCGUGUCCUGGACUGAGUGACUGGUACAAUGCAGGAGGAGGCUGCUCUGUGCUGUGGAAUGUAUCGAUGGCCUACAGAGGGUCAGGAUUUGUAGCACCCCGGGAUGUAUUCAGAAUGUUUUUUUUAUUUAAACAUUGAGCCCUUUGUUUCCAGGGUUCGAGUCCUUUUGCUCCUUUUCUCUUCCUUUCAGGGCUAGGCUUUGCCUGAUGCAGUGGCUGGUUUUCUCCACGGGUAUUGCCAGCUAAAUUGCAGCACACACUUUCCAUGCAAGUGGAGGGGAAUUGAUAGGCCAGCCAAUUCUCCUGCUCUGUGGGGAGGAUACAGGAAUGCUUUUCUUUCUCUAGAACACAGGAAUAUGGCCACAAAUAACACUUAUUUUUUUUAUUAAUUUCAAGCCCAGUUCUUUCUUUUGUUAAAUAACCAUCAAUUAAUCUGUAUAAGCAUGGAGAGACCUUUAAUCAGCAAUUUAAAGCAACAAUAGCUAAAGCGUUGUAUUAUCUUUGACACCUGUGCUACGUGGAUUCAAGUCUCAACAGUGUAAAUUUCCCUCCUUGUAAUGCUUCUCUGAGACUGUAUAUAAAUGUAAAUAUCUCACAGGUCAAUUCACACCCUUCUAUUUGUACUAGUCCAACUUGCGUAGUAUGUGGGGUAAAACAGCGGCAAGAUUGCGUUGUCUGUAACGUAACAAUGUAAUUUUUUUUUACAAUGUAGUUUGUGUACAUAUUGUUUGGCAGUGCUGGUGCUGCCGAUGCCACCGCUCUGCCGCGCCACGGCUGUCCUUUCGCUGUACGACUUCCUGCAGACAGAGACAAAGUGAAUACAAAUGUUAUUUUCUACAGUUGCAUGUACAGAGAUGAGCGCCAGAGAGAUGCUGUUGUCCCUCAAAGAUAAUGUUCGUAAAUAAAUUUAAAAAAAAA